GAUGAACACUGGCGGCGUGCCUAAUACAUGCAAGUCGAGCGAACAGACGAGGAGCUUGCUCCUCUGACGUUAGCGGCGGACGGGUGAGUAACACGUGGAUAACCUACCUAUAAGACUGGGAUAACUUCGGGAAACCGGAGCUAAUACCGGAUAAUAUAUUGAACCGCAUGGUUCAAUAGUGAAAGACGGUUUUGCUGUCACUUAUAGAUGGAUCCGCGCCGCAUUAGCUAGUUGGUAAGGUAACGGCUUACCAAGGCGACGAUGCGUAGCCGACCUGAGAGGGUGAUCGCCCCCACUGGAACUCAGACACGGUCCAGACUCCUACGGGAGGCAGCAGUAGGGAAUCUUCCGCAAUGGGCGAAAGCCUGACGGAGCAACGCCGCGUGAGUGAUGAAGGUCUUCGGAUCGUAAACCUCUGUUAUUAGGGAAGAACAAAUGUGUAAGUAACUAUGCACGUCUUGACGGUACCUAAUCAGAAAGCCACGGCUAACUACGUG
rnacentral:rRNA from 1 species